rnacentral:rRNA from 1 species
AGUGAACGCUGGCGGUAGGCCUAACACAUGCAAGUCGAACGGCAGCACAGUAAGAGCUUGCUCUUACGGGUGGCGAGUGGCGGACGGGUGAGGAAUACAUCGGAAUCUACUUUUUCGUGGGGGAUAACGUAGGGAAACUUACGCUAAUACCGCAUACGACCUACGGGUGAAAGCAGGGGAUCUUCGGACCUUGCGCGAUUGAAUGAGCCGAUGUCGGAUUAGCUAGUUGGCGGGGUAAAGGCCCACCAAGGCGACGAUCCGUAGCUGGUCUGAGAGGAUGAUGACCCACACGGCAAAUGACACAGGGCCCAGCCCCCCAGGGGGGGCAGGAGGGGGAAAUAUGGAAAAAGGGGCGAAGCCUUGACCCAGCCAUCCCGGGGGGGAGAAGAAGGCUUGGGUGUUGAAAACCCUUUUUGUGGGGAAAAAAAAGCAGCAGUUUAACACCCCGCUGUUCUGACGGUACAAAAAGAAAAAGCACCGGCUAAUUUCGU